GAUGAACGCUAGCGGCAGGCCUAAUACAUGCAAGUCGAACGGUGUCUUCGGACAUAGUGGCGCACGGGUGCGUAACACGUAUGCAACCUACCUUACAUUGGGGGAUAGCCUUUCGAAAGGGAGAUUAAUACCGCAUAAGACAGUAACUAGGCAUCUAGUAGCUGUUAAAGAUUUAUCGAUGUAAGCUGGGCAUGCGACCAAUUAGCUUGUUGGUGAGGUAACGGCUCACCAAGGCUAUGAUUGGUAGGGGAACUGAGAGGUCAAUCCCCCACACUGGCACUGAGAUACGGGCCAGACUCCUACGGGAGGCAGCAGUAGGGAAUAUUGGGCAAUGGACGCAAGUCUGACCCAGCCAUGCCGCGUGCAGGAUGAAGGCGUUAUGCGUUGUAAACUGCUUUUAUACAGGAAGAAACGACUCUUGCGAGAGGCAUUGACGGUACUGUAUGAAUAAGCACCGGCUAACUCCGUGCCAGCAGCCGCGGUAAUACGGAGGGUGCAAGCGUUGUCCGGAUUUAUUGGGUUUAAAGGGUGCGCAGGUGGUUUAUUAAGUCAGUGGUGAAAGACGGUCGCUCAACGAUUGCAGUGCCAUUGAAACUGGUAGACUUGAGUAAAGUAGAGGUGGGCGGAAUUGAUAGUGUAGCGGUGAAAUGCAUAGAUAUUAUCAAGAACUCCAAUUGCGUAGGCAGCUCACUUGGCUUUUACUGACACUCAUGCACGAAAGUGUGGGUAUCAAACAGGAUUAGAUACCCUGGUAGUCCACACUGUAAACGAUGAUAACUAGGUGUCGGCCGAAUCUGGUCGGUGCCACAGCGAAAGCGUUAAGUUAUCCACCUGGGGAGUACGCCGGCAACGGUG
rnacentral:rRNA from 1 species